rnacentral:rRNA from 1 species
AUACGGAGGUUGCAAGCGUUACUCGGAAUCACUGGGCGUAAAGCGCGCGCAGGCGGCUAUUUAAGUUGGAUGUGAAAGCCUACGGCUCAACCGUAGAACUGCAUCCAAAACUAUUUAGCUAGAGAGUGGGAGAGGAAGAUGGAAUUAGUUGUGUAGGGGUAAAAUCCGUAGAGAUAACUAGGAAUACCAAAAGCGAAGGCAAUCUUCUGGAACACUACUGACGCUGAGGCGCGAAAGCGUGGGGAGCAAACAGGAUUAGAUACCCUAGUAGUCC